rnacentral:rRNA from 1 species
CCCUUAGAGUUUGAUCCUGGCUCAGGAUGAACGCUAGCUACAGGCUUAACACAUGCAAGUCGAGGGGCAGCAUGACGAUAGCUUGCUAUUGUUGAUGGCGACCGGCGCACGGGUGAGUAACGCGUAUCCAACCUGCCCUUGUCCAUCGGAUAACCCGUCGAAAGGCGGCCUAACACGAUAUGCAGUUCUCAGCAGGCAUCUAACGAGAACGAAAUGUGAAGGAGAAGGAUGGGGAUGCGUCUGAUUAGCUUGUUGGUGGGGUAACGGCCCACCAAGGCGACGAUCAGUAGGGGUUCUGAGAGGAAGGUCCCCCACAUUGGAACUGAGACACGGUCCAAACUCCUACGGGAGGCAGCAGUGAGGAAUAUUGGUCAAUGGGCGAGAGCCUGAACCAGCCAAGUAGCGUGCAGGAUGACGGCCCUAUGGGUUGUAAACUGCUUUUAUGCGGGGAUAAAGUGGGCCACGUGUGGCUUAUUGCAGGUACCGCAUGAAUAAGGACCGGCUAAUUCCGUGCCAGCAGCCGCGGUAAUACGGAAGGUCCGGGCGUUAUCCGGAUUUAUUGGGUUUAAAGGGAGCGUAGGCCGUCUGAUAAGCGUGUUGUGAAAUGUCGGGGCUCAACCUGGGCAUUGCAGCGCGAACUGUCAGACUUGAGUGCGCGGGAAGUAGGCGGAAUUCGUCGUGUAGCGGUGAAAUGCUUAGAUAUGACGAAGAACUCCGAUUGCGAAGGCAGCCUGCUGUAGCGCAACUGACGCUGAAGCUCGAAAGCGUGGGUAUCGAACAGGAUUAGAUACCCUGGUAGUCCACGCGGUAAACGAUGGAUGCUCGCUGUUUGCGUCUGACGUAAGCGGCCAAGCGAAAGCGUUAAGCAUCCCACCUGGGGAGUACGCCGGCAACGGUGAAACUCAAAGGAAUUGACGG